GGAUUAGAUACCCUGGUAGUCCACGCUGUAAACGAUGUCUACUUGGAGGUUGGUAUCUUGAAUACUGGCUUUCGGAGCUAACGCGUUAAGUAGACCGCCUGGGGAGUACGGUCGCAAGAUUAAAACUCAAAUGAAUUGACGGGGGCCCGCACAAGCGGUGGAGCAUGUGGUUUAAUUCGAUGCAACGCGAAGAACCUUACCUACUCUUGACAUCCAGAGAACUUUCCAGAGAUGGAUUGGUGCCUUCGGGAACUCUGAGACAGGUGCUGCAUGGCUGUCGUCAGCUCGUGCCG
rnacentral:rRNA from 1 species